AUGGUAUUUUAGUAGCAAAAAAUCUCACAAACCAUUCUCUAGCUAGUGCACCAACCCUGCUCAACCACUUUGUUACAUGCAAUAUUUCAUCGGUUUACAGUGGUCCACAACUACUUAUAGAAUCCUCUCCAACCAUUGACUAUAUAGAGGUAACAGAUUUUAAGAUAAAUGUGUUCCGCAGUUAGUGGAAAAAAGUAAGAAACCAUCAAAAUCUGUAAUGUAAAAUAAAUUGUGAUAUGAGGGGAAUUUCUUAGGAUGCCGGAAUAUGAUGAAGACACAUAAGUUAUGGUGGCAAACGACGAUGCGAGUUUGUUCGUCGAAAUGGUGUUGCAAAAUACUUCAACACUCAAGUCAAUAUGCAAUUGAGGUGAGUAAGAGGUAAUAUAAAGGAAGACUUCUAUCCAUUGGUGUAAGAGAGUAGUAUUUUUGCCAAGAAAUAUCAUUAUAUUUUAGUAGAUAGGGCGAAUGAAUUGCACUAGAUUGAGGGAUUGACAUCAGAUGCAUCUUACGGUUAUGAUUGAGUGACUUUUAGGGUUUGAUUGCAAGAUUGGAGGGGAAUGAAGGAAGGACUUUUGGGGUGGUGAAAAAGAGAGAGAAAUAUGAAGGAAUCUUCUACAUUAUUUGAAAGAGCAAUUUUGUAUAGAAUGAUAAGAGUAUCAUAAGAACAUGUAAAUGAUUUGAAGAAGUU
rnacentral:lncRNA from 1 species